rnacentral:rRNA from 1 species
UACAGAGGUCCCAAGCGUUGUUCGGAUUCACUGGGCGUAAAGGGUGCGUAGGUGGUGAGGUAAGUCGGAUGUGAAAGCUCGGAGCUCAACUCCGAAAUGGCAUUGGAAACUACCUUGCUCGAGGGUUGGAGGGGGGACUGGAAUACUUGGUGUAGCAGUGAAAUGCGUAGAUAUCAAGUGGAACACCAGUGGCGAAGGCGAGUCCCUGGACAACUCCUGACACUGAGGCGCGAAAGCUAGGGGAGCAAACGGG